UUUGCGCACUCUGACGCAGGUGUCUGCAUGAAAACAUGCAGGAUAAUCGGGAAAUUGGUGUGCUGAAAAGCAAAUCCAAUACUGCCCCCGCAACGGUAAUCAAGUCAUAGACAUUCAAAAGGCCACUGUGAAAUACGGGAAGGCGAUUGUCUAAGUUUACUUGUAAGUCCGGAGACCGGCCUGUGUCAGCGGGACUUU
rnacentral:ncRNA from 2 species